CUGGUUCCCUGACCCAGCCCUGCACCCCACGGACCCCGCCCCCAUCCCUCGAUCCUCAUAUCCAACCCCCCACCUUGGGUCCCACCCCCUGGCACCCAGAAGGGGCUCAGACCCCUGCAGGGACAGCUGGUGUCCCAAGUGGAGACAGUGCCUGGGCCCAGCACACCCAGGAGCUAGAAGGUGGCCACCCCACAGCCUCCUCAAGGACACAGCAUCCUCUCAGGACGGGGGUUGGAGAACCUGGAGCCCGCUUUGCUAGGAACUGACUUUCACCUCUGGACCCCGUCUUACUGCCCGGCACAGCCUGGGGCAGGGACGGGGAAGCAGCGCCCGCAGACAGCUCUGCUCUGUGGGGCCCAGGCUUGCUGGCUGGUCUCAUCCUCUGGAUUCACGCGGGCGGCAAAUGCGCUUGGUGCCGUCUCGGGAGAGGAACUGAAGUAAGCGCUGAGGGUAGACGGAGGCCACGGGAAGCCGCCCUAGGGUCAGGACGCGUUUGCCCUCCCGCUGUGCCGGUCCUGGAGCUGCAUCUCGGGGCAGCCUGUUCCUCUGCAAGGGGCACGGUCCCCGGCCAAGGAGGGGGGUCUGCUGGGUCGGCCACCCCGACGUGAGCUCCCGGGAGGUGCCGGGGGUGGGACCCGACCUUGCUCACCGAGCCCGGGGAACACUGACCGCACGUCUUGCCUGGUCACUGGUGGGGUGGGGGCGGGGGAGCUCUCGCACAUAUUAUUUUGCUUCGCCUCUGACCUUCCCAGAGCAGCCAGGCUGGCGUUAGCCUCCUCGGGGUCUGCUCCUCCGGACACGAACAGCUUCAGCCAGGAUUCCCAGCAGGACGCAGCGGUGGCCCCAGCCACACUGGUGUCCGCUCCGCCUGCCGCCGCGCCCGGCGCUGGGCCAAUCCCUCCUAAGUCCGUUGUUGCUCGAGUGGCGAAGCUGGCCCCGGAGGAAACUGGAAAGAACUGAGAGCUACUCAGACCCGCCUCGAUCGAUCCUGAGACACUGAACGAUGCAGUUAAGACGGGAGGCAGGAGGACACAGCGGCCGUCCAGAAAUAAUUAGCUGGAAAAAAUCCCCAACUCGGCUCCUAUCUGGGAAGCAGCAGCAUCUCCCUCCCUCCCUCUCCCUCCCUCCCUCUCUCUCUCUCACGCUCACACACGCGUGCACACACAUGCACACAAAGACCAAACCACACGUGUGUGAGCAUCUGGCAGACAGGGCAGAGCGGCUCUGGACACGGGGACGGCCGUCCUGCUUCGCCCAGGCCUCCCUCCGCCGCCGGCGUCUUGCUCUCCUGGGUGUGGCCUUCUCCGGGGAAUAAAAAUGAGCGUGGAUGUCCUACAUG